rnacentral:tRNA from 1 species
GUGGAACCUAGCUCAGUUGGUAGAGCGCUUGCCUCCCAUGAACAAGGCCCUGGGUUCAAUCCCCAGCAUCACA